UAUAUAUAGAGUGAGGCUACUAUGCUAUCGGAAGCACGGAGCCUUCCGUGCUUCCAGCUCGUUUUCGAUGUUGCGACUUUCAAAUCGUUGAUCGGCUCCGUUAAACUUGAUCUAGAGUAUUUGAAGUACCUAGAAAAUAAAUUUUAUGAUUUUACGAUAUCGUUUGCCUAGUGAACGAAGGGGCUCAAAAUGAACGGCUGAAAAUAAAAAUAUUACAAAAUGUGAUAAUAUGACAUUAAAAUUUUAAAUCAAAGAUAUUGAUCUUGUUUUAUAUAGUAUAAAGAAUUUUCUAUCAAAAUUUCAC
rnacentral:lncRNA from 1 species